UACAGAGGUGGCAAGCGUUGUUCGGAAUUACUGGGCGUAAAGGGCGAGUAGGUGGCCAUCUAAGUCAGACGUGAAAUCCCCCGGCUUAACCUGGGAACUGCGUCUGAUACUGGACGGCUUGAGUAUGGGAGAGGAACGUAGAAUUCCAGGUGUAGCGGUGAAAUGCGUAGAUAUCUGGAGGAAUACCGGUGGCGAAGGCGGGUCUCUGGGCCGAUACUGACGCUGAGGAGCGAAAGCGUGGGGAGCGAACAGG
rnacentral:rRNA from 1 species